GAUGAAGAACGCAGCGAAAUGCGACAAGUAAGGUGAAUUGCAGAAUUCCGUGAAUCAUCGAGUCUUUGAACGCACAUUGCGCCCCCUGGUAUUCCGGGGGGCAUGCCUGUCCGAGCGUCAUUGCUGCCCUCAAGCACGGCUUGUGUGUUGGGCCUCCGUCCUCCUCCCGGGGGACGGGCCCGAAAGGCAGCGGCGGCACCGCGUCCGGUCCUCGAGCGUAUGGGGCUUCGUCACCCGCUCUUGUAGGCCCGGCCGGCGCUUGCCGACACAUCAAUCUUUUUUCCAGGUUGACCUCGGAUCAGGUAGGGAUACCCGCUGAACUUAAGCAUAUCAAUAAGCGGAGGA
rnacentral:misc_RNA from 1 species